GGAUUUCUGUGGCAAGGAAGGCGAAAUCAUAGGAGUUGAACUUCGGUUGAGAUCUUUGAACAGAAAACUAUUCAAAAAAAAAUAUGCCUAGAUAAAACGAGUAUAGCAACGUUAGACUUGCCUGCAAAUAAAAAUAUAUGCUGCAACUCAAUACUUGCGUUUAAAUUGCUCGUCGGACUGUAAACAAUUACACGCCGACGGAUGAGGAAUUCUAGCCCCGGAUAUAUCGUCCCCAUAGUCAGUCAACGCCUGCCCUCUGAUGGACAAAACGAGAACUGCUGGCAGUAUAUAUUUUUUGGCCAGAUUACAUACGAGGUGAAUUCGGUUAAACUCUAAAAACAUAUAACUACACAUUAAAGACGAAAAUACAACAGCAACGCCGCUGUUUUUAAAGUAUUGAUUUUAUUCAUAUAAUAAAGCUAUAUAUUAAAAACAUUCCCGAAC
ensembl:lncRNA